GUUACUCUGCAGUGCUGAUAGAAUGGCGUACAGUGAGGAGAAGUUUUUCCUGGUUCUGCAGGCCUGUUUGGGAAACAAACACACACGCAUAUGUAAAGGUAACGUUUGUGAGUGGUAUGAUCACACUCACUGUCUCAAUCCUGGUCAGCUGUUCUGCGAUCACACUGGAUGGAAACCCCAGGAUGCUGGUGGCAUCAAACUCCGAGGGAUCAGGAGGAGAUGUCACGCCUUUGGUGGUUUUACAGUGAGACUGACAAGCUUGUGAUGCUGCAAGUGACACAAUGACCUGCACUGUCUGUCACAAACGCUUGUCAAAGAGCCAAAAUCCUGACCUGA